GCACGAAUGACCUUUGUAAUUCAUACUGAGAUAUUAUAGUGCAUGGCCACAGUUUAGCUGUUAGCACUCUCACACAAAAUAUGACACAGUUAGUAGUUUGAUGUUGAAUGGAUUGACGAUUUCUGACAGGAAAUCUGACGGAAUGAUGGCGUUUUUGAAACGGCUGACAGAGGGCCAGAGAGAGAUGGGGGAGGGUAGAGGUGGAAAGAGAAACAGUGAGAAAGAAAGAGAGAAAUGGAGUGACAGUCAGUGACGAAAAGGCCACUUCCUUCCACGAAACCAGCAUCAGCAGAAGACUCAAACCCGCUGCUGCCAAAUUAACUGAUGAAGAUAAAGGGCACACCAAGUCUCACCGACUUUGCAAUUCAAACACAUACUUGCAUUUUCAUGUCCUCUUGACAACAAUGGCUAACACUAGACCCAGACUAAAAAUUAUUCAUUUAAUCAAAAUGGACUAACCUGAAAAUGUUAAUUGCAUAAUUAUGGAGUUAUUUUUUAAGAUGCUGUAAACAUAUCAUCAUCAACCAGAAAAUUCUGACUAAUGCCAACUUGAGUGUGAUAAUUGGUAUGAGUAUAUUUUUUAAUGCUGUCUUUAUUAAUUAAUCUGAAAACAUGAAGAUCUUGCUACUUGUUAUUAAAGCGUCUUAUGACACACA